UGCCCAGCAACUCCUAUCCCUACCUCCACGCGGUACCGGCCGGAAACUAUGAGCAACCUUAGGGAAGAUCGGGUAACCAAUCCCGGUGGGAACUUUGGUCGUAGGCUGACAGGGAAGG
rnacentral:ribozyme from 1 species